rnacentral:ncRNA from 1 species
GAAGGUUUCGUGGCCCUUCGAAGCCGCCCUGCGGGGGAGGCUUCAUGCCACCUCAUGCCGCGUUGGUUGAAGACCGUCGUGGUGAGCGAUGAGGAAAGGUGCCGUAAGAGGCGUCAGGU